UACGUAGGGUGCAAGCGUUGUCCGGAUUUAUUGGGCGUAAAGAGCGUGUAGGCGGCCACACAGGUCAGCUGUGAAAACUCGAGGCUCAACCUCGAGACGUCGGUUGAAACCGUAUGGCUAGAGUCCGGAAGAGGAGAGUGGAAUUCCCGGUGUAGCGGUGAAAUGCGCAGAUAUCGGGAAGAACACCCGUGGCGAAGGCGGCUCUCUGGGACGGUACUGACGCUGAGACGCGAAAGCGUGGGGAGCGAACAGG
rnacentral:rRNA from 1 species